ACGCUUCAGCAGCACAUAUACGAAAAUCAAAAUGAUGCAGAAAAGAUUGGCAUGGUCCCUGCCCAAGGAUGACAUACGUUAAAAUGAAUUCUUACCUUCUUUU
ensembl:snRNA U6 U6 spliceosomal RNA